rnacentral:lncRNA from 1 species
CUGCGGUUGGGAGGGAAUGGGGCGUGGGGGGUUAGAGCAGGACCACAGCCUGGUGAGUCCCCGGGCAGCCGUCCUGCAGCCGCCACUCCUGCGCCUGCCAUUGGCCUCCUCACAGCGGAAACACAGCUUGUGAGUGCAUGUCAGCUGUUAACAAGUGGUUUUUAGUACAUUCUGGGCUUUGCUGUAUCUAUCUAGUGCCUGUUUGUGCGUUUUUUUCUUUCUUCCGCUGCUUCCCCAUUUUCCUUCUGUCCUUUUUCUCCUGCUCCUUGUUUUCCCAGCAGCA